UCGCGAUUGGGCCCUCUCUUCCGCUUCCCUUACCUUCUCCCUCUCCCUCUCCCUCGUCUGCCGCCGCCACCACCACCGGCGACCUCCUCCAUGGCUGACACACCACCCCCUUCUCUUCCCCCUUACCUUCUCCUCAUCAGCGACCUCCUUCCCUCCCCCUCGCCCCAGAUCGAAGAAUAGGCCCGGAUGCGACGCGGGCUCAGAUCCAGCACGCCCACAACACUCUUUUUGCUGGAGGACGCCAUGGAAAAGGUGCUCUGGCCCUGGUACUGCAGCCAUGGAGAGGUGCCCUCCCAUCUUUAUGUGCGUGUUUGUUGGAUGGUGAGAAAAGAUAACUGGAUCAAGAGCUACUUCGAUGCCAUCCUCGACAUCGGCAAGUCAGCCGACGGUGAUCGCCCUUCCCUGCUUCUCCUCAAUCAUGCCCACUUCUCCCUGGCUGCCUACUCCGUCGAGGAGAUCAUCAUCGAUGCACAAAUCCCAGCCUUUUGGAUUUCUCUAUUUUUCUUCCAAUUUGACUAUGCUUGUUCUGAGUCUCUUUCUGUGUUUCUCUUCUUAUUCUUCGGGGACUGAAGGUGGCGUACAGGACCAAGGAGAGGAGCAGCGGGCCAGGAGGUCUGACCCUCCCCUAUGCCCCCAUGGCCAUGGUUUGUACUUUCUCAUGUCAGUUUUUUGAGAGCUCUCUUUUAUUCCUGCCGAACUGCACAUUAAUUAAUUUAUUUGGAUAUGCUUAGUGGUCGUUGACAAUCAGAAAUCUCGAGGUAGCGGCAGAAUAUGUUUUGCAAAAUGCGUCAGG
rnacentral:lncRNA from 1 species